rnacentral:rRNA from 1 species
AUGUCGAGUUCAGGUAGAAAGUAUACAUCCAGAAGUCAUAAAAGGAAAAAGAAGGAGGCAGAUGAAGAGAAAGAAGCAUUGAGCGGAUCUCUUUUUAAAUAUUAUAAGAGCGAUACGAGCACGCCAAGAAAUCCAGACGAGUUGGCGAUAGUUCUUGCGGGUGACCAAACUAAUGGCAAUCAAGAAGAUGAUGGUCAUACUCCUACAAAAGGCAAUGUUGACGUCAACAUGGAUGAUAGCAAUGUGAGUAAUCAUGAGCCCAUAUUUAAUUCAUAUGCGGUAGAAUCUACUAGUGUUGAUGAGGAACAAGUUAGUGUGGAUAUUUAUGACCCAAGCAAUUGGGGUAAUCUUGAUAACAAAGCGAGGGACAUAUUAGUGGAAAAGGGGCCUAAAAUGGAAGAAGAAAACAAUAAAUAUCCUUUGGAUGAAAAUUCAAGACAUUUUUCAUAUAGCCAUUACUCCAGAAAGAUGAGCAAUGGAGAGGUGCGUGAUAGGAAAUGGUUAGUUUUCUCAAAACACACAAAGAAAGUGUUUUGUUUUCGCUAUAAGCUUUUCAAUUAUGAUAAAUGCAAGAGUACAAUGGGGAAUGAUGGGUUUUGUGAUUGGAGGCAUAUUAAUGAGAGACUGAAAAAGAGCACGAAGCUAGUGAUUUUGCAUCUCAGAAUGUUAGGAGAAAUUUUUGAAGCUAUAUGUAAUACAUUAUGUGAUAUGCACAAUCAUUUUGGAUGCACUUUCUUUGAUACAAAUUGUAUGUACAUACGAUGA